rnacentral:ribozyme from 1 species
CCCGACCGUUGCUGCUACCUUGACGUGGUGGUCGGGCUUGCAUAUCGUAAUGAACCAAUCGAGAAACCUAUUUAUGAAAGCGUGUAAACGGGUUAAAAGCAGC